AUUGAACGCUGGCGGCAUGCCUUACACAUGCAAGUCGAACGGCAGCACGGGAGCAAUCCUGGUGGCGAGUGGCGAACGGGUGAGUAAUAUAUCGGAACGUGCCCAGUCGUGGGGGAUAACGUAGCGAAAGCUACGCUAAUACCGCAUACGAUCUAUGGAUGAAAGCGGGGGAUCGCAAGACCUCGCGCGAUUGGAGCGGCCGAUAUCAGAUUAGGUAGUUGGUGAGGUAAAGGCUCACCAAGCCGACGAUCUGUAGCUGGUCUGAGAGGACGACCAGCCACACUGGGACUGAGACACGGCCCAGACUCCUACGGGAGGCAGCAGUGGGGGAAUUUUUGGGACAAUGGGCGCAAGCCUGAUCCAGCAAUGCCGCGUGCAGGAUGAAGGCCUUCGGUUGGUUAAC
rnacentral:rRNA from 1 species